GACGAACGCUGGCGGCGUGCUUAACACAUGCAAGUCGAACGGAAAGGCCCUGCUUUUGUGGGGUGCUCGAGUGGCGAACGGGUGAGUAACACGUGAGUAACCUGCCCUUGACUUUGGGAUAACUUCUGGAAACUGGGGCUAAUACCGGAUAGGAGCUCCUGCUGCAUGGUGGGGGUUGGAAAGUUUCGGCGGUUGGGGUUGGACUCGCGGCUUAUCAGCUUGUUGGUGGGGUAGUGGCUUACCAAGGCUUUGACGGGUAGCCGGCCUGAGAGGGUGACCGGCCACAUUGGGACUGAGAUACGGCACAGACUCCUACGGGAGGCAGCAGUGGGGAAUAUUGCACAAUGGGCGGAAGCCUGAUGCAGCAACGCCGCGUGCGGGAUGACGGCCUUCGGGUUGUAAACCGCUUUCGCCUGUGACGAAGCGUGAGUGACGGUAAUGGGUAAAGAAGCACCGGCUAACUACGUG
rnacentral:rRNA from 1 species